AUUUAAGUAGUUUAAAUAAAACAUUACAUUUUCAUUGUAAAGACAACUAAUAGUUCUUAAAUA
rnacentral:tRNA from 3 species